rnacentral:misc_RNA from 1 species
UGAAAGGCGAAACGUAAUGUGAAUCGCAACUAACAGUGAAUCAUCGAAUCUUUGAACGCAGGCCGCGCCUUGCAUAUCACUUGUGUUAUCGCAAGGCAUCUACGUAUGAGUGUCAGCCUAAUAUACUUUUGGUUUAAUGGUAAUUUAUUUACUAUUAAAUACAUUAUGCGAGUAUUUUUUUUUUAUAAAAGAAUACACGCGUUUAACAAUAAAAGUAUGUCUGGCCUCAUAUGUGGAAGGUUACCCGCUGGAUUUAA